UAGAAAUUUCCAAAUAUAUGACAACAGUGGCAAGACUGCAUUAUGUCAUGAUUGGGCAUGUUUAAGCGAUUGCACUCAUUAAUUGAAAAUAAAAAAACGAAAAACGGACCUAAAAUUGAAACAUGACUGAUUCGUUUCGUCAGUUUUACCGCCAUCAUUCGUAGUCACUGAACAGUAACAAACAUUUGGAAACCGUUAAAUGAAAUUUCAGAAACUUCUCGGAAUUGGGGGAAAUGGUUUCGCUAUUUUCAUCACUAAAAGAAAACGACGAGGAUGUUUUUAUUUUAAAUUUUAUUAUACUAAUUUUGUCAAUAAAUAACAAUUAGCAAAAAUUAAACAGAAAGUGUGUCAUUUAGUUGAAGAUAGAGCUUAACCAUUUAAUUUUUUUUACUUGAUCUGACUUAGAUUAUAACUUAUGACUUUACAAUAUGUUCGUUACAAAUGAUUAUUUUACACAGAAAGCGGAAAUAUACAUACUUAACUCAGAAUGAAUUUCGGAUGCAUUAUUGUUACCUUAUAAUGAAGCGCCAACAGUGUUUUGGAAGUGUCGCCUAAUGAGCCGAGUUGAAAUUAUUAAAUCGCCCAGAUGAUGACGUUCUCGAUUUAUUUGAGUAAACAAAUAUCAACUUAGAUGUCCGCACUGCUGCGACCGUGAAAUAUGAAUCAUCUUUUAAUUGAGUUACAAUCUAAAAUUGAGAGGUAAUGCUAAAACUAUCAAAAUUAGAAACUGCUUGUCGCAGCCGUUUUGAAUAAUCCCAAUUUUGUUAAGGAAUGCUUACGGGAAACAGUUUUGGGCGAAAUUAUUGUAACCAGUUUUUGUGCGUAAUCGUCAGUUUUAACAUUACCUCGGGCGACGUUCACACUCUUGUGAUAUGCUAAAUG